CGCGAUUUUUUUCUGGACGCGUCUUGCUGGGAGAGCGUCCGUGGCUUCGCGUCCGUGUCGCGGCCCUGCGGUCGGCGGCCUCCUGGUGGAGUGGAGCAAGGCUGAGAUCUGUAUCUGUGGACCUGAAUGUUGAUCCCUCGCUUCAGAUUGACAUACCUGAUGCGCUCAGUGAGAGAGAUAAAGUCAAAUUUACAGUGCACACAAAGACCACACUGCCCACGUUUCAGAGCCCAGAGUUUUCUGUUACAAGGCAACAUGAAGACUUUGUGUGGCUACAUGACACUCUUAUUGAAACAACAGACUAUGCUGGGCUUAUUAUUCCACCUGCUCCUACGAAGCCCGACUUUGAUGGUCCUCGAGAGAAGAUGCAGAAACUGGGAGAAGGUGAAGGGUCUAUGACCAAAGAAGAAUUUGCCAAGAUGAAACAAGAACUGGAAGCUGAGUAUCUCGCUGUGUUUAAGAAGACUGUGUCCUCCCAUGAAGUCUUUCUUCAGCGGCUUUCUUCUCACCCUGUUCUCAGUAAAGAUCGCAACUUUCAUGUUUUCCUGGAAUAUGAUCAGGAUCUAAGUGUUAGGCGGAAAAAUACUAAAGAGAUGUUUGGUGGCUUCUUCAAAAGUGUGGUGAAAAGUGCUGAUGAAGUCCUUUUUACUGGAGUUAAGGAGGUAGAUGACUUCUUUGAGCAAGAGAAGAACUUCCUUAUUAACUAUUACAAUAGAAUCAAAGAUUCUUGUGUGAAAGCUGACAAAAUGACCAGAUCUCAUAAAAAUGUUGCCGAUGACUAUAUCCACACCGCAGCCUGCUUACAUAGCCUGGCUUUAGAAGAGCCCACAGUCAUCAAAAAGUACCUAUUGAAGGUUGCUGAGCUAUUUGAAAAACUAAGGAAAGUAGAGGGUCGAGUUUCAUCAGAUGAAGAUUUGAAGCUAACAGAACUCCUCCGAUACUACAUGCUCAACAUUGAAGCUGCUAAGGAUCUCUUAUACAGACGCACCAAAGCCCUCAUUGACUAUGAGAACUCAAACAAAGCUCUGGAUAAGGCCCGGUUGAAGAGCAAAGACGUCAAGUUGGCUGAGGCACACCAGCAGGAGUGCUGCCAGAAAUUUGAACAACUUUCCGAAUCUGCAAAAGAAGAACUGAUAAAUUUCAAACGGAAGAGAGUGGCAGCAUUUAGAAAGAAUCUAAUUGAAAUGUCUGAACUGGAAAUAAAACAUGCCAGGAACAAUGUCUCCCUUUUGCAGAGCUGUAUUGACUUGUUCAAGAAUAACUGAUAUGCCUUCACUCAGAAGAAAAGAAAUGAAUGUGAAAGAAAGCCAAGCAUCACUUGCACUUAAAUCAUUACCACGGAAGAUAUAUUAGCUUCAACUUUAGUUUAAAAUUAUGUGAAUAAAUAUUUUGAUUUCUACAAAUCUUAACAUUUAACCAUGUUGGUUUAAAAAUAUUAUUGCUUGCUACUUGGACAUAACUAAAUUUUCCUUGUGCAUUUAAUACCUCUGGGCAGAAUCUAAAUACUGGGUUCUCCCGUAGUUCGUCUUUAGUUACUAAGAAAGGGUGUAGGAGACAUUUGCCUUCUGGAAACAAGUAGAAGCAAUCACCUGGCCCAUGUCCCUACAAACCCAUGAUUGUCAGGGAGGUGCCAGUUACAGCAGGUGAUUCAGCUACUUGAGGCCGGUAACAGACCUUCCAUUCCUCACUGAAGGUGGGGUUUGUGUUUUUGUUUUGCCCUGUUACUCCACUGGUAGUCCUCUGGUGUUUGUACUAUAACAACAGCAAGAAAAUCUCAUUUAUCUUUAUAUACUCUUUGCACCUCCUUUUUUUAGUCAAGAUAUAAAUAUUUGAGAGGAGAGAAAUAUCUACGGGUAUAUAUGGAAACAAAUAAUGUGGUCUGCUUUAUAAGAUGGCCAGAUCUACAUUAGGAAAAGUAUGAGCCCCCUCCCUAGUGGCCGUUGGAGGGGUGAGGGGGGUAUGGUGUAUGUCUUUGGGCAUUUGUUUUUUAUAAAGCAUAUAAUAAAAUAAUCGUGCUACUAAUGU
rnacentral:sRNA from 1 species